rnacentral:lncRNA from 1 species
AAGAGUUUAGAUUAGGUCUCUAUGCCAAAUCAGCCCAAUUCUUAGAUUAUUUGUCAGGAGGAUCAUCUUACCAUUUGAUCCCUAGUGAACGGAGGUUAGUACUAGAUAAAAUCUUAGAAAAAACUCCCCACACUAGUAUCUACGAUGAAUCACUGGAUGAAGUAUCCAACGGGCCCAUAAAGGAGACAAUCAUGGCAGAGGAGAUGAUGUGUUCAGAAUCAAAAUAUAUCGACCUUCUAUCAUCACCUAUCUCCAACAUGCUCUCCCAACCUAUUCCCGAACCAUCAUCAUCAUAUACCUUAGACGCUAAAUCCUUUGAGGAAGAUCUUC